rnacentral:rRNA from 1 species
ACGGUACCUGACAGAAUAAGCACCGGCUAACUCUGUGCCAGCAGCCGCGUGUAAUACAGAGUUGUGCAAGCGUUAAUCGGAAUUACUGGGCGUAAAGCGCGCGUAGGUGGUUCGUUAAGUUGGAUGUGAAAUCCCCUGGCUCACACCUGGGAACUGCAUUCCAAAACUGACGAGCUAGAGUAUGGUAGAUUGUGUGUGGAAUUUCCUGUGUAGCGUGUGAAAUGCGUAGAUAUAGUGAAGGAACACCUGUGGCGAAGGCGACCACCUGUGACUGAUACUGACACUGAGUGUGCUGUAAAGCGUGGUGAGCAAACAGUGAUUAGAUACCCUUGUAGUCCACGCCGUAAACGAUGUCAACUAGCCGUUGGGAGCCUUGAGCUCUUAGUGGCGCAGCUAACGCAUUAUACGUUGACU